rnacentral:tRNA from 1 species
UCCCUAGUGGCUCAGCUGGUAAAGAAUCCACCUGCAAUGUGGGAGACCUGGGUUCGAUCCCUGGGUUGGGAA